rnacentral:rRNA from 1 species
GACGAACGCUGGCGGCGUGCUUAACACAUGCAAGUCGAACGGAAAGGCCCUGCUUUUGUGGGGUGCUCGAGUGGCGAACGGGUGAGUAACACGUGAGUAACCUGCCCUUGACUUUGGGAUAACUUCAGGAAACUGGGGCUAAUACCGGAUAGGAGCUCCUGCUGCAUGGUGGGGGUUGGAAAGUUUCGGCGGUUGGGGAUGGACUCGCGGCUUAUCAGCUUGUUGGUGGGGUAGUGGCUUACCAAGGCUUUGACGGGUAGCCGGCCUGAGAGGGUGACCGGCCACAUUGGGACUGAGGUACGGCCCAGAGUGCUACGGGAGGCAGCAGGGGGGAAUAUGGCACAAUGGGCGGAAGCCUGAUGCAGCAACGCCGCGUGCGGGAUGACGGCCUUGAGGUUGUAAACCGCUUUAGCCUGUGACGAAGCGUGAGUGACGGUAAUGGGUAAAGAAGCACCGGCUAACUACGUG